GGGACACAAUUCCAGCUCUAGCACCGCCAAACAAGUAAUUGAUUUACAUAGAACAGGGUGACAAACUGAAAUGCUUCUAGAAGUCAGAAAGAAACACUCAUGAGUAAAGAAAGCGAGGUGAACAAAACCGCAAAGCACAAGCCCUAGCUGAGGGCUGUAGUUGCCACAUGAGGCAGGAAACUUUUCUCAAAGAACUGUGGGCCUUCUGACUAUGAUCAAGAGAAAACAAUAAUUUGGGAGGUUCUGUUACAUCUCUUGGUUUAUAAAUUUUGAUAGAUGAAUAUGUUUAGUAUUUAUAUGUUCAGAAUACACACACACACACACACACACACACACACACACUUCAGCCCAAAAAACCCAGGGUGCAAACUCUGAUAGGGAGAGUCAGUAGAGAGUUCUGGGCUCACGCAUUUCUGAAAAGUGGCAAGUCACUCCGGAACUGGUAAUUAAGCAACAUUUCCUGUACAUAACCCAGAAAUUCAAAUUAUUUUCAGGUAGAAACUAUGCCAAUAGCAACAGUUUCUAAGGACAUUUAGAGAAGAUGGGUUGAAGAAAGAAGAGGUGUGCUGGAGACCAAUUAAAUCAGACAUAGUCAUUGAAUCACUACAAUGUGCCCAGCAUCAGAUUAGCACAACUGAUUCAGUAGUGGAUGUAUAAGGCAGACGAGUUCCUCGACUUGUUGGAAAUUAAAACAGAUGACAGAGAAAUGCAGUAAACAAGUAAAGUGCAACAAAUGAAAGAACGCAUUGGAAUAAGUGAGCACUGAUACAAUAUCUUCAGGAUGCCAGAAGAGAAGGAACAACAUUAUUUGAAAAAUACACCCUAUGAAAAAGAAAGGAGAGUUCUAAUAUCUAAAUGGGAGGUUGGAACUCUCAAAUUCAUUUGCUGGUUCACUCUGCCCGUGUUCUACAAAAGCCCUAGUUUCAGUCUGUGCUGUGGCUCAGCUUCCUCUCCUCAUCAUAGAAUGUUGGCUUCGUAUAAUCGUCCCCUAAUCUGCCCAGCCUCAGCUAAAAACACUGCAGAAAAUCAGUCUCCAUGUGCUCAUCAGAGAUUUUGGUGACUGAAUCUUAUUUUGGGUGGUGGAAGAUGAAGUUAUAAAUCAGGAUGUUUUUAAAAUAGCUAAACUCUACGUAAUGCUUCUAUGAUUUCCAAGUGAAAAAUAAACUCAAAGGAAAUUUGAAAUGUAAAAGUCUGUAAAUCUUUGUGAAUGUUAUGAAUUUUGUACCAUAUUCAUGUAUUCCUAUGCAAAAAAAUGAAUUAUUUAAAAUAAAUUAAACGGAAGAGUCUUGUAAUAAUAGAUUUGAACUCAGAUGAAUGCAGUCUUUAAUACUUUACUUUUCUGUCUUCUCAUUAUGAUUUAUUCACAGGCAAACUAGAGAAAUCUCAUUGAUCUUCUCUUUAAAUAAGAUAAUCUGAUGUAUUUAUUAAUGUAUUUUUAUUUGAGUAGUUCACAUGUAACAGGAACCCAAGUGCUCUUAACCCUUUUACUCUCCUACGGCACAGAGCUCUUAGGCUUCAGACCAGCAUUGUUCUCCCUCAGUGGAAUUAGAGAGAACCAUACAAUUUGCUUUUUGGUUUUAUUAUAUGUGCCACAAAAACUCAGAAAACAAAAAUUCCCAAUUGUUUCAUUUGCUAGCUAGAGUUCAAAUCUUUACUACCCCCAAAAUUCCAGCAUUGAAGUUAGAGCAGGCCACCCCCAGGGAAUACCACAGCAACUUCAUUUUAAAAAUACGUUUGAUUUUAUUUUCCUAAUCUUCUUGCAGCCUUUCUUUCUUUUCCUUUUCUCCCCUAUUCCACUGCUGCGUGCUUUAAUUUUGCUUUCAGUCGGUAGUUUAAAAACUUUAGCUUCUAAUAACUGGAAAAAAUGGUUAUUUAAAGAUAACUGCAACUUGCUUAACAUGCCAGGCUAUCAUAUGCUCAGUGCUUUGAAGCUGCAAAUUAAUGACGAGCAGGAACAGUGACUAUCUUUCAGAAGAAACUGACCUCUUUCUAAUGGCACAUCGCUAAUGUCAUCUGUCUACUGCAUCUCAUUAUGUGAAUUUCACGGAGUUAAAAAAAAAAAAAAGUAUCUUAAGGCUGUACACAAAUAAAAAGGACCUUCUAGUAUUAAGCACUUUGAAAAUUUUUGAUCUCUCAAAACACCUUCCUUAGAUACUGCUUCCCCCUUUUGUGCAUGGCAUGCUGCUUAUGUCAUCUAUUCUCUGUGACUAAUUAUGUUAAUUUUGUGCCAUAAAAGUAACUGAAGGCUGUUAAGGAAUAAAAGCUUUUGAGUGGCCUUAUUUCAUAAACACCCCUUUUGAACAAGGCACAUUUAGUCAUAUUUGCAGUAACAGAAAGAGUCUUGUGCUAAAAAUACAACAAAGGCUCUUGAAUAUGGCCAUUUAUUCCCACUUUAUUAGGUAAUUUAUGAAAAAGUAUGAAGGGAAGCCUUUUUGUUACUAUAAUUUGCAUAAAGCUGGUGCCCCAUUAAUGAGAUAACUUCCUGCCUUUUGUGUAUCACCAGCUGGAAAUAGAAAUGGAGGAACUUUUCUGUAGCCCAAUUACUUAACCUGCUGAGUUCAGAGUUGGAAAGUAAACAGGAUUCCUAUUUGCCAAAGAACUUUAUUUUGGUUCCUCUAAUCUGAUUUUUUAAAAUAAAAAUAAUUAGAGGAAAGAUGAAAGCCAAAUUUUAAAACAAAUGAAAUUUCAGCAAGGCUUAAUGUUAGAAAACGUAUCUACUUCUGGAGAAUAUUACUUGUUUAAUACUCAUAUUUUCAUCAUUAGAGGACAAUUCUGAUCUACUUUUGCUUUCAUUGAUUGGAUCAAAUACCAUUUGAUUAUCCAUUUGAAUAUAUGGAACUAUAAGUAUGACAAAAGAAAAAAAUUGUGAAUAAAUUCUAGACAACUUUUUGUGGGGGAAAGGGAGCAAAUACUUACGAUCUGCAGUCCUUCAAUGAAAGAUAUUUUAAAAUUUCAUAAUCAUCAUAAUUGUACACUACUGAAAAAUGCCUUGGUGAUACAAUAAAUAACAUGAUAGCUAUUUAUUAAGGCCCCAAAUACACCCAAAAUGAUACAUAAUUUUGCCAUGUGGGGUAGAUAUUCAAUAUAUACAGUAAACACAUAGAAGAAUAAAAUGGGGGCAAAAGAAAAGGGAUGAUUUUGAAGUUAUAACUUGUUUGUACACAUGCUCACAUACACACACACGCACGCACACACACAAUAUUAGAAAGGCUUUGCUGAAUUUCUUCAGAGUCUAUGUAAAGGAAAAUUUUGUUUAUUGAUAUGUAAUUAUAUUAUUUACUUAUUUAAAAACUAUAGUUCAGUCAAAUUAUGCCAUUAUACUUUUUCUCCCUACAUUCCCUAAACCCACACUGGAAAUGUGGUUUCAGAUGACACAGUGUAAAGGCUGAUAAGUGGAAAAUAACACAAGAGUAAGGACAGAGGGGCAAAGCCAUUGUCUUUGACUAGAAUUCACAAAUAAAUUAGAAAAGUCGAUGGUCAGUCUCGUGGUUUCAUCCUUAAAAAGAAGGCAUUGAACAAUUUGAGAUUGUAUUAAGAAAUUAUCUUACCAUCAGGCAGAAAUUCUGGUUUUCUGUACACCCCUUAUAACAUCUUGGGUAUAUUGUGUUUACUGAAGUAAUAGAAAUAGUUGCAAAGCCUAGGGCUUUGAAAACUAUCACCAUUCAAGAAUGUAGUUGCAUUUUGUCAGCCACUGAGCUCACAGAGGCUAAUUUUUAGAGUUAAGCAUGAGCAUGUUUACAUUCUACUUAUAUAUUUCUUCUGUAGGUCAUCUAGAGUUUGAUGCAAAGCCUGGCUUUCACUGUGUGGCAUUUCCUUCAUUCUUUAGGAGCCUGCUUGUGGCUUACACCCUUGAAUGGAAAUUUAUUAGGCAUACUGUACUCAUUCCUUCGCUUACAUCAGGCCAGCAUUUCCUAAACAUAAUAAUCCACAAGAUGGUUUUUCCAUGAUAUGUCUACCUUCUAUACCUUCUUAAACACCAAAGAAUUCAACGUGAGAAAUGCUGUUCUAGGAAAGUAACUUUCAUGUCUGAAGUGAUCUAUUGGGGAAUUCUUUCUUUUCAGUUUGUUUUAUGUUCUACAUUGUUUGAUUUAAGAGAAUUAGUAAGGAUGGAAAAUAAGUUCCACUCUUCAGUCAAUAGAGUUUUGUUUUGUUUUGUUUUUUCCAACAUAGAAUUAAGGUAAAGAGCAUAAAUAGUGCUCUGGCUGUGGAAAACACCUCAAAAUUGUCAGACCUCUGAGCCCAAGCCAAGCCAUUGCAUCCCCUGUGACUUGCACGCAUACGCCAAGAUGGCCUGAAGUAACUGAAGAAUAACAAAAGAAGUGAAAAUGCCCUGCCCCCGCCUUAACUGAUGACAUUCCACCACAAAAGAAGUGAAAAUGGCCGGUCCUUGCCUUAAGUGAUGACAUUUCCUUGUGAAAGUCCUUUUCCUGGUUCAUCCUGGCUCAAAAAUCUCCCCCACUGAGCACCUUGUGACCCCCACUCCUGCCCACCAGAGAACAAACCCCCUUUGACUGUAAUUUUCCUUUAUCUACUCAAAUCCUAUAAAACAGCCCCACCCUUAUCUUCCUUCGCUGACUCUCUUUUCGGACUCAGCCCGCCUGCACCCAGGUGAUUAAAAAGCUUUAUUGCUCACACAAAGCCUGUUUGGUGGUCUCUUCACACGGAUGCGCAUGACAAAAAUCCCAAGCAGUAGUAUCCAAGAAGUUACUAAGAAAUCAGUUGGUCCGAGUAGGCACUUCCUAUUCUGCUUUCUUCUAUUAUCUGCAGUGACAUACAUUCCACUUGCAGAAGGAAAUGCACUCCACAAAUUAGUCAUAGUUUCCAAUUUGUUUUCAACUGGACUUGUGACAAAAUCUGUAAUUUAAAUUUUCAUGAUGGUUAGUCAUUUGAACCCCCGGAACAUAAAUGAAAAAAAUAAAAUAAAAUAGUGUAAUGAGUAAUCCUCUAAUGAAAAAAAAAAAAAAACCUACACCAAACUUAAUUAAACUCAGUGGAGAAAGUAGCCAGAAUGACAAAGCAAACAUAUAUUAUUUUUAUUUCAUUUUUUUGAAUCCCUAAUAUUUUGUAUUUUAGUUACCCUAUUAAAAAAUUCUAUGUUCCAACUCUAC
rnacentral:lncRNA from 1 species